UUAUACUAUCACCACUACAUUGGAUUUUUAUGUGUUUUAACAAAAUUAAUCUCUAUAUAAGCAAAGGCCUAUUAAUUUUGUAGAGCAAGGGUGCAGAAAUUUCAAGUCCAUCAAAGAGUUAGAGCUUCAAAAUCAUGUCCUUUUUAAGGAACGCUAAAGCUAACCACCAAAAACAAGAAACAUUUACCAUAGAACAGCGGGAAACAGGCCAUAAUUCUCAAGGUAAUGAGCGUUCUAUCAUUAACCGUCCUGCCACUCCUAACAGACAAAACCAACCAGAAAGAGGUUUUGACGUUAGUCAUGUGAGUUCCAGUUCCUCAGUGACUCAGUCUAUGAGUACUGAAAGAUCAUCAGGACAUGAACUCAAUCACCGCCAUCCACAUAUCCCUCCUAGUACACCAGGAGUUGACCGCCAUCCACAUAUCCCACCUAGUACACCAGGAGUUGACACAAGGAUUGAUAUUAUUGAAGAAGUGAGAGAGGGAGAAGAAGACCCUGUAGAGAAUCCUGUACACAACCCUGGAGAAAAUCCAGAGGCAGGUUGAGAUGAGGGAUUUGGGAGAAAUUUCUAGAUGAUAGGAAAUUAUAUAUGAUUGUCAUGUUUUGGACUAAAUGUUAUUUAAAUAAGUGAAUGUAUUGGAUACCAUGAAUUCCAUCUGGCUUAUGCAAGUUAAUGAGAUUGAAAAAUAAUAAUAAUAAUAAAUAAAUUUGCUUUUUUUUUUUUUUACCUUAUUCUUAAUCUAGUAGUUAAGUAAUUUUAUGCUUGCAUUUCAUCAAGGUUAUGGUAACUCGCGCUAGAAACACGAACAAUAGGAAUGGUCAACCCCGGACCGAACCAACAAAAUUGAACAAUAAUAAUCACAACUAAAAUGACCGAUUCACAAUAUGGCACCACCCGCCAUACAACAUGUUGCACUACCACCUGCAGAGAGGAGUGUGGC
rnacentral:lncRNA from 1 species